AGCUCCAAUAGCGUAUAUUAAAGUUGUUGCGGUUAAAAAGCUCGUAGUUGGAUCUCGGCAGGUAGGGAGCGGUUCGUUUCUGACGGCACUGCCCCAUUUACCUGUGUUUUUGCAAGAGGUCUCAAGGUGGCUUUAAUCGGCUGUCUUGGAACGCUUGCAGUUUUACUUUGAAAAAAUUAGAGUGCUCAAAGCAGGCUACAAAGCUUGAAUAUUUGUGCAUGGAAUAAUGGAAUAGGAAGUCGUUUCUAUUUUUUUGGUUUUCGGAAAUUGACUUAAUGAUUAAUAGGGACAGCCGGGGGCAUUAGUACUCAGACGACAGAGGUGAAAUUCUUGGACCGUUUGAGGACUAACUACUGCGAAAGCAUUUGCCAAGAGUGUUUUCAUUAAUCAAGAACGAAAG
rnacentral:rRNA from 1 species